rnacentral:tRNA from 1 species
AGAGAUAUGUCUGAGUGGUUUAAAGAGUAUGCUUGGAAAGCAUAAAAAACAUUUUCUGUUUUCAUGGGUUCGAAUCCCAUUAUCUCUU